rnacentral:rRNA from 1 species
UCGGGAAUUUUGGGCAAUGGGCGAAAGCCUGACCCAGCAACGCCGCGUGAAGGAUGAAGUUUUUCGGAAUGUAAACUUCGUAAAAAUAGGAAGAAUAAAUGACGGUACUAUUUAUAAGGUCCGGCUAACUACGUGCCAGCAGCCGCGGUAAUACGUAGGGACCAAGCGUUGUUCGGAUUUACUGGGCGUAAAGGGCGCGUAGGCGGCAAUUCAAGUCAUCUGUGAAAUCUCCGGGCUUAACUCGGAACGGUCAGAUGAUACUGCUUUGCUAGAGUGCAGAAGGGGCAAUCGGAAUUCUUGGUGUAGCGGUGAAAUGCGUAGAUAUCAAGAGGAACACCUGAGGUGAAGACGGGUUGCUGGGCUGACACUGACGCUGAGGCGCGAAAGCCAGGGGAGCAAACGGGAUUAGAUACCCCAGUAGUCCCUGAGCGGGCUGGCAAGGCGCAU